GGGAGUGAUCAUACCAGCACUAAUGCACCGGAUCCCAUCAGAACUCCGAAGUUAAGCGUGCUUGGGCGAGAGUAGUACUAGGAUGGGUGACCUCCUGGGAAGUCCUCGUGUUGCACCCA
rfam:Eucalyptus grandis cultivar BRASTZ1 unplaced genomic scaffold scaffold_4645, whole genome shotgun sequence.